rnacentral:rRNA from 1 species
GCGAAGCUUAUGUGAAGCGGCGGACAGCUCAGUAAUACAGUUAUUAUUUACUCGUGGUAUGUAUAUGGAUAACCAUGGUAAACUAUGGCUAAUACAUGAACAGGUUAUUUAUAUGGUGAGACAUUGAUAACAGACAGGAAGCGACCACGAUUAAGUUUCUGGCCUAUCAGCUUUGAAGGUAGGGUAAUGGCCUACCUUGGCUAUGACGGGUAACGGGGGAUCAGUGUCUGAUACCGGAGAGGGAGCCUGAGAAAUAGCUCCCACGUCUAAGGAUGGCAGCAGGCGCGAAACUUACCCAAUCUCUUUAUGGAGGAGGUAGUGAAGAGACAUGAGAUAUAUAUCUACAGACUAUACAAUAAAUUAGUAUAGGAUCGACUGGAGGGCAAGUCUGGUGCCAGCAGCCGCGGUAAUUCCAGCUCCAGUAGCGCAUAUAUUUGUUGCUGCAGUUAAAAAGUCCGUAGUUGAUCACGAAGACAGGCUAUUUAUAGUUUUGUUUUUGAUACUGUGAGAAAAUUAUAGUUCUCCAAGCAAAUUAUUCAUUGAGUAAUCUAGCAUGGGACAUAGUGAAUAUAGGAACAGAUGAUGGCAAUAGUAUUCAACAGUUAGAGGUGAAAAUUGAUGACCUGUUGAGGACUCUCGGAAGCGAAAGCGAUUGUCAAGGAUGUUUCCGUUAAUAAAGGACUUAAGCUGGAGGAUCGAAGAUGAUUAGAUACCGUCGUAGUUCCAGCUGUAAACGAUGCCGACUAAGUGAGGCCAUUUGGCUAUGCUUUAAGAGAAAUUAAGAGUUUUUGGGCUCUGGGGAUAGUACGGUCGCAAGAUUGAAACUUAAAGAAAUU